CCCUGACAGCCACAUGACGUGGUUGACCUUAACCCAGACAGGAGAAUCUCAUG
rnacentral:sRNA from 12 species